GACGAACGCUGGCGGCGUGCUUAACACAUGCAAGUCGAACGAUGAAGCCGGAGCUUGCUCUGGUGAAUUAGUGGCGAACGGGUGAGUAACACGUGAGUAACCUGCCCUUGACUCUGGGAUAACUGCUGGAAACGGUAGCUAAUACCGGAUAUGACCAAUGAAGGCAUCUUCUGUUGGUGGAAAGAAUUUCGGUUCGGGAUGGACUCGCGGCCUAUCAGCUUGUUGGUGAGGUAACGGCUCACCAAGGCGACGACGGGUAGCCGGCCUGAGAGGGUGAUCGGCCACACUGGGACUGAGACACGGCCCAGACUCCUACGGGAGGCAGCAGUGGGGAAUAUUGCACAAUGGGCGCAAGCCUGAUGCAGCAACGCCGCGUGAGGGACGACGGCCUUCGGGUUGUAAACCUCUUUUAGUAGGGAAGAAGCGAAAGUGACGGUACCUGCAGAAAAAGCACCGGCUAACUACGUGCCAGCCGCCGCCGUAA
rnacentral:rRNA from 1 species